GUAGUCCGCACUGUAAACGAUGGAUGCUAGCCGUUGGGGGGUUACCCUUCAGUGGCGCAGCUAACGCGUUAAGCAUCCCGCCUGGGGAGUACGGUCGCAAGAUUAAAACUCAAAGGAAUUGACGGGGACCCGCACAAGCGGUGGAACAUGUGGUUUAAUUCGAGGCAACGCGAAGAACCUUACCAGGCCUUGACAUGCCCUCUAUGAUUUACAGAAAUGUAUUUCUUCACUUCGGGUGGGAGGAGCACAGGUGCUGCAUGGCUGUCGUCAGCUCGUGUCGUGAGAUGUUGGGUUAAGUCCCGCAACGAGCGCAACCCUCGUCCUCUGUUGCUAACAGGUUAUGCUGAGCACUCUGAGGAAACUGCCGGUGAUAAGCCGGA
rnacentral:rRNA from 1 species